UGUGAGCUAUCUCACAGCAAUAACAGUAACUCAGUGACGAGCUUAUAUGCAAUAGUGUAAUUGUAUAUAAAAAUGUUUGUGCUUUGCUUUGGAUGACCGGUCAGAAAGUAACUGAUAUCAGUAUUUCAUUUGCAGCUGUUGCACCAGUGAAGGAUGUCUGUGUGCCGCUUUGCUUUCAGUUUCUCAGUCAUGGGGGCCUGCUUGCAACACCAGUGGCAAAGCAGUCUUGCAUUGUGCUAUUUGUUCUGGAAGGACACAAGCAUUGAGGAGCCAUUUGACCUGCCACUACACUGAUACGGUAUUUGGCAAAGGCAGGAGGCAUCUGCAAGCAACCAGUCAUUCCGAUUCUCAACCAAUCCUUCUAGUCAGCCCAUUUCUAGUGUCUUAUCUUGCAAGUUUUUUUCAGUAAAGCACAAUAAACACGCAGUUUCGUUCA